ACGAAAGAAAAGUUACGGAAGUAGUAAGUGGUGAUGGAGAGAGAGAGUGAAUAUUUCUGCAAGCGCAACAAAUGUCGAAGUGAGAUUUAAAGUUAUGCGUCCAUUUUGGGGCGACGUUAUGAAGUACGACCGUUUUACAAAUACCUGGUCGAAACCGUAUACACCUCAUAUCUUCCGAUACGAGAAAGCCACUGGUCGCACAUUUACUCUUAAUGGUAAUCUUUGGUGGGAAGCAGUUAUGAGAGUAACUGAUGAAUACCACGAGGAAACAAAUGAAAUGGGCGAAGUUUAGAAAGAUAUCGCCAGCGGAAGCAAUGAUUGGGAAACGUUCUGUUAACAUAGAACAAAUAAGUGAUUACUGAAGUAAGUGAUAAUUGACCUCACCUGACAUUGAGUAUAACUGUAAAUACAACGUAUAAAUCAUCAUUAUUCAAAUGAUGUAGACAGCAAUGACUCUCACAUAAUGAUUUUUAACAAAAUAGUUUUCUUUGGACAAUUAUCUUAUACAAGUAUUCUUUUGUGUAUAAUGUAAUCAUUAAAUAGGAAUUUUUGAUUGCUCUUCGAAAUUCUAAUUUUUUAUUAUUCUUAGAAAUUGUAAUUUUUGAUUGUUCUUAGAAAUCAUAUGUUAAGGAUAUUUUACAGAAAAGCAAAAGUUGGGAAAAUUGUA